rnacentral:lncRNA from 1 species
UAUCAAGUCAACUCGUCCCGUAGUCAUUGUUCCAGUGCGGUCGUCUAUCAAUGGCAAAAUAAUGGCAUUCAUAUUUUCCAGGAUGCUAAAAAUAGCGCUGAUUGCAACACUUGCAUCGUCCUUUUCCGUUAGGAAUACCGUAUGUAACAUUAUUCUAUAGCCGAAAAUAACCGAACGCUGGCGAUUAUUCAUCCAAAAAUAGACUGUAGAUCGGUUAUUUCCGCGGAUAAGAGUGAAGAUUCUAUUUGAAAUUUCCGUGUGUAACCGUUUGUAACCGAUGGUUAACGAAUCAUUUCAGCGCGCGUGAUACUUUAUGACCUCCUUUUACGACAACCAAAAACCUGUUGAUUACUGCUAAUCGGAGGCAGAAAUUUCGAUUGUUCACAAUAUUGAAGAAAAUGACCGAUCUGACCAUCAUGAAGUUUCUACCAACGGAUUAAAACACCAAGGAGAUUGAGAAACAAGCCAAGAACAAAAUUUAACGGCGAUGGCAGUUGUCCGAGUUCGAUUCUGAGAGGUUGAAAUGGUCUGAUAGUGAGACCUAGAAGGCUAGAUAGAUAUUUGAUGUGUUGCAUAUUGCACAAACGAUUAAUUACAAAUCCAAUGGAAAGAAAGGUAUCAGACUUCACUGCGAGGACGGCAAACACCAGAAAAAAACACUCGAGUUGUGAAAACUGAGGUUCUGCCGGGUUCUUCUAAUGGUACUAAGAACACUGAAUCUAUGCAAGACAGGGUGGAUAAACAACAUGCCAUAACCAGUGGCACAUACGUAAACACACAUAGCAUUGCCAAAAGGUAGAAGGAUGACCUAAAGAAAAAUCUUAAAGGACAGAUCUUAUCACUGUAUACCAAUGAGGCAACAAACAAUAACAAUGAUAAGAAUUUGAAUGUAAUUGCAUUGUAUAUUGUGAAAUAGUGUGGAAAUAAUAAAAUUACAAAUUAAUUUUUGAAAAAUAAGGUCUUGAAUUGUUGUUUGCAGAAGUCUCCAAAACUGAAAUACAGAGGACUCUACUUAUCAGGAAAAGCUUUGUACAGUACUUGGGAAUUGCUGUAUUUCAGGAGCUUCCGGGGGCCGCUGGCCCCCUGGACCCCUAGCCAGGGCUUUGCCCUGGACCCACCGGGGGCCCUAUCGGCCCCCCGGCCCCCAGAUAUUUCUUUCAGUAUUUUCAGUUUUUCCAACUUUCACCCAUG